CCACCUGGUGGUGUUUUGUCCGUACUGCAUCUCCACCGUCAUCAUGGUGUCUUUGUAUCGAAACAGGUCAACAGCAGCUUCGUCCAAACAAGCAGCGGUGAGAUCAGCGGAGGACUGCGGCGACAUUGAGGCGGUCUGCACGGUGCAUCACUUCUGAGCUGAACACAUCGGAGACACAUCAGUGAGACGAUUUCGGUUUGUGGCUGACAGAGCGAGACGUCCUCCUCAUCUCUGUGGAGGGAGAUCGCUGUUUCACAGAAAAACAGUAAAAUAUUCAGAAAUACAGAAAUUAAUACACAAAAACAGUAUGAAUAAAUGUGUGAAUAAAUACAUAAAUAAAUAAAUAUGACAAUAAAAAGUACUGGUUGCAUUGGUUGCAUGGUACCGUUCUCAGAGCGUUUUUUAGGACCAAAACUUGCGGGCUGAGAGGUCACUGAGGGAUGAAAACCCUAAAGU